AUAACAUCGAGGCAGUUGAGUUCCUAGAGAAGGGUCACUCUGCUUGUGUCAAGGACUUGUCAAUGGGUUGUAAGUUGUAAGGAGAUUAAAAUUUUCUUUUGCCUGUGUUCUCCACAUCAUCAAGAACCCUUCAUCCCUUCUCUUCAACUCCAUUCUAGAUAAGGCUGUCUAAUGUGGUGUCUAAAUGUGGCAUCUCUCGGGAGUCGGGGGCCCCCAAAUACGGGGCGACGAUUGGGAAGAAGCCAUUGGCUUGGGCUGUGAAAGAAUUUAGCUGAGGCAGAACAAAGGAAAUAGAAUGUGGAGCACAUAGCAAGGGAGCACGCAAGGGAGCGGAGGACAGGACAGCAGAGACACUGCCUGCCAAGAGGCAGUGGGUGGGAGCCAUUUUUAAAGGGGGAAGAUGGGGAGGUAUAGUGAGGAGGAAGAAAAAGUAACAAACACCUGAGCACACAGAUGUUCAGCACAACGUCAGAAAUGCUGAGAGGGAGCAUAAAGCCAGCUCGUCAUGAUCUCAAGUUCGUAACAUCGAGCCCCACGUCAGGCUCCAUGAUGGGUGCGGAGUCUCCUUAAGACUCACUCUGCCCAUCCCCCUCUGCUCUCUCUCUUGCUCUCUGUCAAAUAAAUCUUUGAAAAACAAACAAAAAAAAGAAUUCAUCUAUGUUGUUCCAUGCAUCUGUCAUUUAUUUAUUUUUUUAUUUCUGAGUACUGUUCCAUUGUAUUCUGUUGCAUAAAUAGAUCACUCUUUGUCUACCAUCCUGUUAUUGGACAUUUGGGUUGUUUCUAGUUUGAAGCUACCAGAAAACACUACUGUAAAUAUUUUCGUCGUUUAUGAACAUAUGUGCUACGGUCACC
rnacentral:lncRNA from 1 species